UUCAUCAUAAACAUUUAUCUCUCCCUCUCCUAGCUACCUUGCAGGAAAUCGCUCUAUCAUGUCGGAGGCGGCAGAGCAACCCAACUCAGCCAACAACCACCAUUAAUGGAACCUUCUCGCCCUCCUCUUUCAAUUUCUUACAUCCAUUUCUUCUAAAAAUCACUAAACCAUCAAAAUCGAACCACAAACCCUAAGUCUUAAAAUUGAAAUUAAACGAUCUAUGAUUGAAGGUUGGAGAGUCAUAACCGAAUUAGGCAAUUAGGGUAAAGGGAGUUAAGAGUUUGGUCAGUUGUUAGUUUCGAUGGAAAUUAGUUAAGUUAGAAUGCAAUUUGGUUAGGGUCUUAACGGUGUUAAUUGGCAAUUAGUUUAGUUGGGUUGUUAGUAUUUGGAACUGUUAGUAGAAUGUUAGAAUGUGUUAGUGAGUUAGAGAUGAUUAACUGUUAAAAAUAGUUAUGUUAGAAGAGUUAACUUUGUUAGUUAAUAGUUAGCAUCUUGAAAUUUUUUAGUUAGUAGGUUUGAAAUUAGUUUAGAAAGUUGUUAGUGUAUUUUGAAAUAGUUAGAAGAAGUUAGUUAAUUAACAGUUAGUUUUUAAUCUGAACUGUUAGAUGGUGUGUUAGGACUAUUAGUGUGGUGAUUCCAAUUAGUUAGGAUUAGUUGAGUCAGUUAGUAUUGAUGUUAGUUUGAAUGCUUAAAAGUAUGAAUUUUGACAGUUAGGUUGGCUUGAUGUUAUGAAGUUGGACUUUAGCAAAUAUGUUAGUUAAUUGAUGCUUGGUUGAACUGUUAUGAAAUGUAGAAUUAAAAAUUGGUUUGUUGUGUUAGACUAAAUGAACUUGUUAUAUGUGUUAGCUAAUGCAAUUAACAAUUAGUGAAUCAGUUUAGAAAAAUGGAAAAUUAGUUAGCUAAUUCGUUAACCAUGACAGUUAGUAUGGAAAUGUUAGUGAAUGUUAGAAUUAGAAGUGAAUUGAGUUAGAAAGAAGUUAGCUAGAAGACUAUUGAUUAUGUCAGUUUAGGUUAGUAUGGAAGUUAGAAGUUGAAGUUUUGACAUUGGUGUGUUAGGUUGAAUGUAGGCUUGACUUGUAUUGUAUGUAUAUGGUAGGUAUGUUGAAUUUUGGAUGUGUGUGUGUGUGUGAAUUGUGAUCAUGUUUUGAACUUGGAUUAAACAUGCCGAACAUUUUGACAAUGGGUCUAUUUUAGUUUGGACUUGAGGCCUGCAUAAUAUCUUGAUGUGCAUGUUUUUAGGAUGGACCUUUAGUGUAAGCAUGAUGAGUUUUUGUGUCCCAUGUGUUUUUGUUUAUGUCAUGACUUGGUUUGUAUUGUUGUAGGACUGAUAUUCAUUUGGUAGGAUGGGACUUGGCUUGAUAUGGCAUAAAGGAGACUUAUCAUCAAGGAUAUGAAGAAGUUUUGGAUAUCUUGAAGGCAUAAAUGGAUGAUCAAUGAGGAUGAAGCCCAAAGUAGGCUAAGGUUAGUUUGACUUUGGUCAACUGUUUAACCAAAAGUCAACUUUAGGUCAAAUAUGUGAUUUCUUGUAUAAUGUUUGAAAAUUUGGGAUUUUUGCAAUGUAUUUAAUCUUGAAAUGAGAUUCUUUGAACCUUGAAUUGCCACUUGUAACUUGAUUCUCAAAAAUAAGUUAUUCCCUCCAAAUUAAAAUAUUUGAAUAUUUGAAAACCUUUUAUUUUUGAACUGUCAUGUUUUGUAUUCAACAAACACAAACUAAUCAACAAACCAUGCAAAAAUUGUCAUAGAAAAAUUGGACAACAAGAAGUCAACCUCCAAUGGUUAACUUUAUUGACCAAAGUCAAACUUGCCCAUGACUUCUAAAUUUACAUGUGCAUGAUGUAAUCAACAAGUCUUGAGAAAUAUUAGGGUUUUAAAAGGCUUGAUCCAAGAGAAAUAAACAUCCCAAAGUCAAGUAUAACACCAUGAUCCCCAGGCUUGAUUCACAAGUGCACCAUAAAAACCCUAGCUCAUGAAUUAACCAUAAUUCAAUGAUUUGUAUCAUAAAUAACAAGAACCCUCUGAAUCAAUGAUGCUACCUAAAAAUUAUAAAUGCAAAUGAAAAUGAUCUUAUGAUAGAUAACUAGGACAUGAGUAUGCAAAUGAAUCAUGGACCAUGAGUCAGGUAAAAAUGAAAAAAAUGUAUGACAAAUUUUGGGGUAUGACAAAAUGAGGUAACAUUUUUUUAGAGAUCAAUUUAACAAAGGAAAGCUUGAACUUGAGCAUU
rnacentral:lncRNA from 1 species